UACAGAGGGGGCAAGCGUUGUUCGGAAUUACUGGGCGUAAAGGGCGCGUAGGCGGCCUGUUAAGUCGAACGUGAAAUCCCCGGGCUCAACCCGGGAACUGCGUCCGAUACUGGCAGGCUUGAAUCCGGGAGAGGGAUGCGGAAUUCCAGGUGUAGCGGUGAAAUGCGUAGAUAUUUGGAGGAACACCGGUGGCGAAGGCGGCAUCCUGGACCGGUAUUGACGCUGAGGCGCGAAAGCCAGGGGAGCAAACGGG
rnacentral:rRNA from 1 species